rnacentral:rRNA from 1 species
GACGAACCGUGCAAACGUUGUUCGGAAUCACUGGGCUUAAAGGGCGCGUAGGCGGGCGACCAAGUCAGGGGUGAAAUCCUCCGGCUCAACCGGAGAACAGCCUUUGAUACUGGUCACCUCGAGGGAGGUAGGGGCAUGUGGAACUUCCGGUGGAGCGGUGAAAUGCGUAGAUAUCGGAAGGAACGCCGGUGGCGAAAGCGACGUGCUGGACCUCUUCUGACGCUGAGGCGCGAAAGCUAGGGGAGCAAACGGG